ensembl:lncRNA
AGGAGUUGGUCCAAUGACCUGGGCUGCAGACUUCCAGAUCUCAUGACCUACUGAGGCUGGAUGUAACCUUUGCCACCAGCAGCAUCCCUGCAGGCCAGUACAUUCCCACUGGCAGAAAUCAAACAGCAGACAAAGAAGCAAUAGAAUAUUGUCUGUGUCUUCUUUUCACUGUUGUUAUUUUCUUUUCUCUUUAUCAGGUGAUGAGAUCUUGUGUUUGCAGUGGGCACUAGCUAUAGACUGUCUGAAUACUGCAAUUGAAACGGAGUAGAAUGGAGAGGAUGAAUCCUGGAAGAAAGGUUGGAGUAGUGAAGAGAAAUUUUUAUGGGUCAGAAAAUGAGGUUUGCAGCCAUUUGGCCAAGUGUAAUAGAACAUGCCUUAAUGACGAGACAAAUGAUAUCUCCUCCUUCUAGCAUUCUCAAGGAGUGCCAGCAAAAGCUUCCUCUGAGAGAGUGAAAAUCUAAGAACUUCCUUGGGGCACUCAGAGCUGCCCUCUGGAAACACCGCUGACUUAGCGAAACCUGAACGUGACAUCACCUGCCCACCCUAUCAUCACACCUCUCAAAUCAUCCUUGAGAAGGAUGGAGUCCCCACAGUGGGCACAAGCUGGUUGCUGAGGGGGUGUAACUAGCCUCUAAAACAACGUAGAACCAGUGAAGAACUUUCUAACUGAAAACUGCCUGAGAGAGAAGUCCAACAGGCUCCGUACAUGGACGAGAAAACUGAACCCAGAGACAGGGCGGGAAAAGGAGAAAGAAGGCAACUAAGACCUAGGAAGUGCAUGGUUGUGCCUAGGCUCUGUGAGUGCCUUAUAUUUAUCGUGUUGACUUUGUCCUUAAUUGUGGGUGCCAUCUGAGGACAAAGAAGGAGAUGAACAUUCGUUGUGUUCCCCAAGCACUUUGCUAGGCCUUUGAUAUACACUAGCAUGCUGAUAGGUAUAAUUUCUAUUUCACAGGGGACGAAGCCAGGGCUUGCACAGAGGUUAACUCUCCCUGAUCCUUAGUCACUCCAAAGAGGUGUGACUUUGGAAAAGAUCAUGCAGGCUCUCAUCUGCAAAACGAUGAUCAAGUACCUUGUGGGGUACUUUACAAGACUGAAUGGGUAGUUUAUGUGAACGUCUAGCACAGAAAGCUGGGUGGUCAGAACAUCACUGACUCACCAAUCAGAACAUCACACGGCUUUUCUCAAAAACUUCCAGCAGCUUCCAUCCCACAGGAAUAAGUCUCCUCGGCCUGUUCCCCCUGUAAAUGCCCCUCCACACACAGAUCUUUUAACCCCAUCCUGAUCCUCUUGGCUCCUGCUGUCCCUGAGGCAUCCACCUGAGACCACCUCACUUAAAAUGCAGUUCCUCACCCCCAUCCUCUCCUCAACGCCGUGGCUCUCCUCUGCUUUUUUAUUCUCCAAGGCACUUACCACCAUCUAAAAUAUCCUAUGUAUUUUCAUUUAUUUUCUAACCUCCCUUGACCCUGGAAAGUUAAACUGUGAGGACAGGAACUUGGUUUGUUUGUUUUUUGUGCUUGCUGAAUCCCCAGCACUACUAGAUGCUCAAUAAAUAUUUGCUAAAUGAA